rnacentral:rRNA from 1 species
UAAACUAGGAUUAGAUACCCUAUUAUUAGAAAUGUAAUGAAAAUAACUUGAUUACUAUUAGAAAUGAUCUUUAAAUUCAAAGAAUUUGGCGGUAAUUUAUCUUAUCAGAGGAACCUGUUUUAUAAUUGACAAUCCACGAUAGAAUAAACUUUAUUUUAAUUUGUAUAUCUCUGUCAAGAAUGUUUUAUAAGAAAAAUUUUCAAAUAUUUUAUAUAUUAUAUGUCAGGUCAAGGUGCAGUUUAUAAAAAAGAAAAAAUGGGUUACAAUUAAAUUUAUAUUGAAUUAUUUUUUAUAAAUAUAUACAUAUGAAAUUGGAUUUGAUAAUAAAUUAAUUAAAUUAAAUUAGUUGAAAUUAGCUCUAAAUUAUGUACAUAUCGCCCG